rnacentral:rRNA from 1 species
CCUACGGGAGGCAGCAGUGGGGAAUUUUGGACAAUGGGCGCAAGCCUGAUCCAGCAAUGCCGCGUGAGUGAAGAAGGCCUUCGGGUUGUAAAGCUCUUUUGUCAGGGAAGAAACGGUUGGGGCUAAUAUCCUCAGCUAAUGACGGUACCUGAAGAAUAAGCACCGGCUAACUACGUGCCAGCAGCCGCGGUAAUACGUAGGGUGCAAGCGUUAAUCGGAAUUACUGGGCGUAAAGCGUGCGCAGGCGGUUUUGUAAGUCUGUCGUGAAAGCCCCGGGCUUAACCUGGGAAUUGCGAUGGAGACUGCAAGGCUUGAAUCUGGCAGAGGGGGGUAGAAUUCCACGUGUAGCAGUGAAAUGCGUAGAGAUGUGGAGGAACACCGAUGGCGAAGGCAGCCCCCUGGGUCAAGAUUGACGCUCAUGCACGAAAGCGUGGGGAGCAAACAGGAUUAGAUACCCUGGUAGUCCACGCCCUAAACGAUGUCUACUAGUUGUCGGGUCUUAAUUGACUUGGUAACGCAGCUAACGCGUGAAGUAGACCGCCUGGGGAGUAACGGUCGCAAGNUUAAAACUUAAAGUUAGUAGUUGCGNGNGAGAGCGACGACGACGACGAGGAGGAGGAG